GACGAACGCUGGCGGCGUGCCUAAUACGUGCAAGUAGAACGCUGAAGGAGGGGCUUGCUUCUCUGCAUGAGUUGCGAACGGGUGAGUAACGCGUAGGUAACCUGCCUGGUAGCGGGGGAUAACUAUUGGAAACGAUAGCUAAUACCGCAUAAUAGUAGAUGUUGCAUGACAUUUGCUUAAAAGGUGCAAUUGCAUCACUACCAGCUGGACCUGCGUUGUAUUAGCUAGUUGGUGGGGUAACGGCUCACCAAGGCGACGAUCCAUAGCCGACCUGAGAGGGUGAUAGGCCGCACUGGGACUGAGACACGGCCAAGACUCCUGCGGGAGGGAGCAGUAGGAAUCGUCAGCAAUGGACGGAAGACAGAGCGAGAAACGCCGAGGGAGUGAAGAGGGUUGUCGGAUCGUAGAGCUCUGUUGUAAGAGAAGAACGAGUGUGAGAGUGGAAAGUUCACACUGUGACGGUAUCUUAUCAGAAAGGGACGGCUAACUACGUG
rnacentral:rRNA from 1 species